AACACAGUGGACCAACACCAGCAGAUGACAUGGCACCCCAAACCAUCACUGACUGUGGAAACUUUACACUGGACCUCAAGCAACGUGGCACUCAGCAGCAGUCCAGUCCUUUUUGUCUUUAGCCCAGGCAAGACGCUUCUGACGCUGGCUGUUGUUCAAGAGUGGCUUGACACAAGGAAUGCGACAGCUGAAACCCAUGUCUUGCAUAUGUCUGUGCGUAGUGGUUCUUGAAGCACUGACUCCAGCUGCAGUCCAC
ensembl:lncRNA